ensembl:lincRNA
UGAAAGGCUAGUGAUGGAUGAGUGGAAAAUGGAUGCGAUAGUUUGUGACAAGGUAUGUGAGUUUCAUGGUUGCUGACCCCAAUGAGCAUGUUAUAUGUUAGUGGAAUUCACCUCUUUGUGGCACUGGGAGAGAUGUCUGUUGCUGAGCGGGGAGGAAUAGGAUGAGUGUGGAAGGUGGGGGUAGGUAGAAGACUUCAAACACAGCUAUUCUAGGAAAACCCCAAGUCUGGGGAAUAUGGUAAACAUCAGGCAGAGUGGGAGAGAAGACAAAGCUGGGCUUCCUUGAGUGACCUCCAGUGCAAAUCCCUGACCUCCGUCUUACUUUCACAGUGCGGCUGUUACCACCUUUCUCUCUCCAGGAGGCUGAGGUAGGCCUCAUUACGAAUGAGCUCUGCAAUCUCUUAUUUGUGCAAAGAACUGGUAGGGACCACUUGGUGCAGGAGGAGAUGCUGUGUGUUGGGAAUUUCUCUACAGGAAAUUCCAUCUGCGAGUGUCUUCACCAGGGUCACCUACUUCACUGACUGGAUCAGCACCAUCAAGAGGCCCACUCCUGUUCUGGACUCACUUCCAGGUUCUCCUCCCGGGGACUUUCUGCCCCCGCCUCUGACAGCUACAGGCUCGCGCAAGACUCACAGUGUCCCUAGGCCAGCACAGACCUGCCUCCUGCUGCCCUUCAUGCUUCAGGCCCCACAGCAGGCCGGGGGCUGACAACUCGAUCCACUUACAUUCUCUCUGUUCAGGCCUCAGGGGCUGUGCUGCAGCCUCCCUUUUGCCAACCCAUUGGCAAUAAAUGAAGGUGUGAAGGGAGGGCAGGGGUAUGGGAAAAAAAUAAGAACCAAGACAUAACAUGUGAAGGUACAAGAUCCCAAUGAUAAAUGUAGCUGUAUUGUUUGCUUUAAAUGUGCCAAUAAACAACUCUGACUCCUGCCCUAAGAGGAACCACGCGCCCCUGAUCCUCUGGGAAAGGCUGGGGGUGUGAAAGGCACAGUAAGGGGACCCUGAGGAGCCAUGUGCCAAUUAGGCAGAAAGCAGGUCCGUCUGCCCUUGUAGACUGUUCUUGUCAUGGAGAAUGUCUGGCCUUCCAGGGAGAUCAGGCUGCGCUCCUAGCAUCCAAGUGCAGGGGCACGAAGGUCCCCAGAGGUGGGAGAGCAACACUGGGGUCUGGAAGCUCUGAGGCCUCUCAGAUUGAGGAGUUGAGCGUGAAUCGGGAGCACAGAUGGGGCCCGAUGCCAGGCUGAAAGCUGAGGCAUAGACCGGCAGUCCUCCCAGCUCUGCUCCUGGGUUGAUACCUAACAGCCUCUUCACCUAUCCACAUAGGCCCACCUUCCCAAAUCCUUAGUGGAUUAUCCACCGCCAAGCUUCUCAUAUCCAGGCCCCGUUAAUCUGCUCCCUGCUGUCUGAGGCACACCUCAGACGCUCUUGCUCAGUUUCCACGCCUCUUCACUGAUUGAAAAUCAGUGUCACCUUGUCUGUUUAGCCGACCCAAGAUUCAUGGUCCAGCCACAAGCCCCAGAGUAGUGUCUCAGGCUGUCCUUCCUGCGGAUAUGCUGGACACCAGAGUCACUGCGUGGCCAGCAGGAUCUCAGAGACCUCACAGAGCAGCCCAUCCCCACCUGCUGUUUCCCCCAUAAGAGGAAGCUCCUCUUUAGCAUAGGUCCCAAUGAACCAGGCACUAUUCCUGGAAUUCAGCACAAAUUCUCUCCAGUCCUAGGGUUGCCCACAUUUCCUGGACCCUCACUGGUAGGAGUACAAACAGACUCAUGCUCAUUAGCAGCAGAGCCUCGCUGUCCUCGUGCCUCUGCUGCUCAUACAGGACUCCACCCCACAAAGAUCUCAUGAAGGCUCGGGAAAAUGUCUUUCUAGUGUCUCUUCCUACGGGAUCUUUUCUUGCUGUCCCCACUUUGGCCGGGUGACCUACUAAGGUACAACUAUACCUGGUUAUAUACCCAUGCACUAGUGCUGAGCCUUGGAGGUCCAAUCUCCAGAAGGUAGAAGGCAAGCAUUCCUGCCUGGUGACAGACCCAAUUAUAGCAUUUCUCAGGAGUGCUACUUAGAACCCUGGGGCGCCUGUGAGUGACCAAGAGAACACUUUUGUUUGUGGUACUGAACAUUAAACAGAGGGCCUUCACAAUAAGCUACUUCCCCGCCCUUUUUGUUUUGUUUUGUUUUGUUCUUUACUCCAAGUCUUACCCAGGUGAGACUCAAACCUCCUGCCUCAGCAUCCAGAGAACUGGGAUUGCAGGCGUGUGCCACCAUGCCUGGCUUGUUAACAGUUCUAAAGAUUAUCCAGGUGGUUUCAGCACUAAAUAAUCAUCAAAGAAAUACUGUAAUGUAUAAUAGAACAUAAAAUUACAGAACUGCAGAUAUUAUAGUACCGUACUGUAGAAGAAGCCAUCACAAGGCCACACUGCUGCUCAUAUUCCUGUGUCCUAAAUCUGAAUGCAGAUUGUAAGUCUGAGUGGUGAGUCAUAAGUUUGAACAGUUGUUAAACAGGUAGGCUGUUAAAGGAGGAUUGUGUGUAUCUUUCCAUUUUCUGAAGUCUUCUUAGAUCCCCUUUAUUAGAGUGAUGUAGUGUUUAUUGUCAAGGUUUUUCAUUUCCUUGGUUAGGUUAAUUCCUAAAUUUUUUAAAAUUUUGAUGCUAUUAUAUGAAUGGUAUUAUUUUCCUAAUUUCUCUCUUAGUAGCUCAUUCUUGAUGUAUAGGAACACCAUUGAUUUUUUUUUGGGGGGGGGUUGAGGCAGGGUCUCACUAUGUAGAUGAGACUGACCUGGAACUCACUACGUAGCCCAGGCUGGUCUCGAACUCACAGCCAUCCUCCUGCCUCAGCCUCCUGAGUGCUGGGAUUACAGGUGUGUGCCACCACACUCCGCAGAACACCAUUGAAUUUUUUUCAGCUUUAAUUUUGAGUUUAUUGGUACAUUUUAGGGAUACAGUACAGUUACAUUCAUUGUUGGGAAUUUGUACCUCUACAUGACAUGUCUUGUUCUCAUUUUUUCCUCUUGUCCCUGCCCCCCCUUCAACACCAUUGAUUUUUGAAUGUCGAGUUUUGUAUCCUGCUACACUAAAGAAUUUGGUUACUAAUUUUAGGAGUCUUUUGAUGGGAUUUCUUGGAGAGGAUCAUGUCAUCUGCAAAUAAUGAUAAUUUGACUGCCUUUCUUUUAUUUCUUUCUCUUGCCUAGUUGCUCUGGCUAAUGUUUUGAGAUAUGUAACAAGAGUGAUGAUAGUAGAUAUCUUUGUGUUUUUCCUGAUUUUUGAGAGUGUUCAACUUCUCCCCAUUUAAUAUUGUGCUGGCCAUUGGUUUGUCAUAAAUGACUUUUAUUAAAUUGAGAUGAAGUUCUUCUAUACCUAUUUUCUUCAGGAUUUUUAUACUGAAUGGAUAU